CGGGUGAGUAACACGUGAGUAACCUGCCCCUGACUCUGGGAUAAGCCCGGGAAACUGGGUCUAAUACCGGAUAUGACUUUUGACCGCAUGGUUGAGGGUGGAAAGAUUUAUCGGUUGGGGAUGGACUCGCGGCCUAUCAGCUUGUUGGUGAGGUAAUGGCUCACCAAGGCGACGACGGGUAGCCGGCCUGAGAGGGUGACCGGCCACACUGGGACUGAGACACGGCCCAGACUCCUACGGGAGGCAGCAGUGGGGAAUAUUGCACAAUGGGCGCAAGCCUGAUGCAGCGACGCCGCGUGAGGGAUGACGGCCUUCGGGUUGUAAACCUCUUUCAGUAGGGAAGAAGCGAGAGUGACGGUACCUGCAGAAGAAGCGCCGGCUAACUACGUGCCAGCAGCCGCGGUAAUACGUAGGGCGCAAGCGUUAUCCGGAUUUAUUGGGCGUAAAGAGCUCGUAGGCGGUUUGUCGCGUCUAUCGUGAAAGUCCGAGGCUCAACCUCGGAUCUGCGGUGGGUACGGGCAGACUAGAGUGAUGUAGGGGAGACUGGAAUUCCUGGUGUAGCGGUGAAAUGCGCAGAUAUCAGGAGGAACACCGAUGGCGAAGGCAGGUCUCUGGGCAUUUACUGACGCUGAGGAGCGAAAGCAUGGGGAGCGAACAGGAUUAGAUACCCUGGUAGUCCAUGCCGUAAACGUUGGGCACUAGGUGUGGGGGACAUUCCACGUUUUCCGCGCCGUAGCUAACGCAUUAAGUGCCCCGCCUGGGGAGUACGGCCGCAAGGCUAAAACUCAAAGGAAUUGAC
rnacentral:rRNA from 1 species